GACUCCAUGGCCCAAUGGAUAAGGCGCUGGUCUACGAAACCAGAGACUCUGGGUUCGAUCCCCAGUGGAGUUG
rnacentral:tRNA from 2 species